AGAUGGCUAGAUGACUGCGCUUUGAAAGAAGUGAGGAAAGUCCGAGCACCGCAGGGCAGAGCGCCGGAUAACGUCCGGUGGAGGCGACUCUAAGGAAAGUGCAACAGAGAGAUACCGCAUUUGCCCAAUUUGGGCAGGUGUAAGGGUGGAAAGGCGAGGUAAGAGCUCACCAGGGCUAUGGCGACAUAGCAUGCUAUGUAAACCCCGCUUGGUGCAAGAUUGGUAUGAGGACAUUGAAUAGCGGCCCGCUACGUCCUUUGGAAUCGCAUGAGCCUGUUUGGCAACAUCAGGCCUAGAUAGAUGGUCAUCCUUUGACAGAACUCGGCUUACAGGCCAUUC
rnacentral:RNase_P_RNA from 1 species